rnacentral:tRNA from 1 species
GGGGUUGUAGCUCAGUGGUAGAGUACUUGCCUAGCAUGCAUGAGGCACUGGGUUUGAUCCUCAGCACCA